AAAUACAAAUUCGAGUAGGUAGUACAAUGAUAUGAGAUUAU
rnacentral:guide_RNA from 1 species